UCUCUCUCUGUAAAAUGAAAUCUUUAAAAAAAAAAAAAAAAAAAAACACACACACACACGAUUUUGACCCUAAGGAGAAGUUUGCUAGUCUGGAGUGCUCCCACCUAGUUAGGGUUAGCUCAUACUCUGAACAAGUCAAGGAACUGAGGUACAAACACUUCACAAUGACCCUGGGAGAGCAUGGCACGCUAACUCCAAAACCGGAGUCUGUGCUGUAUUUGCUUUAUUCCUUCUCCGGAUCAUGGGGCCUUGGCCUCUUGUCCUCUCGGGGGUCUAGAACCAAAGCACAGUGGGCAGUGGUCUGUCCUGGGAGGCUGAGCCUUGGCAGCAGGUGGUGUGGGGAUUGACUUCAUGGAGUGACACGUUCUGAUCUCGGGGCGGGGGGGGCAGUGAUAAAAAGGCAAAUGGAAGAGCCGACCUGAGGGAGCUCUGGAAAAGGGACAGCUAUAGGAGUAAGAAGCACCAAGGCACAGUGGUGAAGGGUGAGGUAGGUAGGGCUAGAAAGAACCUGUGUCAGGAGCUGCUCUAAGAGGAGGGGCAGCGUCAGGGAAAGACCAUUGUAAGGUUUUGUGAAGGGGGUGUUGCAGGGUGGCCUUGGGCAAGUCUCUUGACUUCUCAGUUCUCAGAAGGUGCUGAUUGGGAGGGAGGUGAGACUCCCCAUCGUGUCUUGUCAGCGAGCAACUCUGAAUUGGGACAUCUGAGCGCGUUUUACUGUAGGAUGGAACCUGGUCCUCUGCCCCCUGCUGUGUUAGUGGCAGGAUUGAGGCCUUGGAGACUGUGCAGGAACAAGUUAAGGGGUGACAAGGUCGGGAAAGUGAUUCUGUCCUUAGAAGCUUAGUGGAGAAGGGUUGAGGGCAAGAUGUAUCUGGGAGGCCUCCUUUCCCCACUUUGUGCCUCCCUAGGUCAGGAAGGGAUCACAGACCUGAACUUAAAACCAGCUGUUGAGACGCUGGGCUGCAAAGACACUUGUGCAGCUUCCUUGGGCUGCGGUGCUCCAGUGCCCCCUCCCCUGUGACCCUCCUCCGGCUGGCAGCCCGGUGCUGGUCCCUCCUUCACAGUUGGAGGUGUGGAGUGACUCGUCAUUACUAGGGACAGGAUUUCCCAAGAGGAGCACAGCAGAAAGCCUUUAGAGGGACUUAAGGAGAAGCCAGUUGUGAUGACACCUGGCUCGCUGUGACCCUCAUAAACAGCAGCUAGGAUGGCCUGGAUUGGUGAUAUUACAACUUCACUUCAGAGGGAUUUGGACCUGGGUCUCUUGGGGUGGGGGUGUGUGAAAAAUAGGUCAAUAUUUUGUAGAAUUCAUGUAUUUCUACUGUAAUACUUUUUCAAUUUGUGGAGUUAACACUCUCCCUUGUAAUGGGUCAGGAAAAUAAUUAUCAACUGGGUUGGCUGGGGGGACACCUAGGCUUGUGAUGUCUGACACCACACCAGAUAGUUUUAUGCAGCUUUAAAAAAAGUGAUGGAACCCACCACCCGUUCCUUGAAGAAACUAGUAUGUUGAAUUUGGCUGGAGCUUAUUCUCUGCCACUCCUCGGGAUUUAAGGAAAUCGUGCCCUUUAGGUACCGUGGCCCAGACCACCUGAAUCCGGGGUGGACUCUCAACAGCUGAUGAGGAGCAGUGUUGGGAUUCAGACCCUAUGUUACCAGACAGCCCAGGGGUUGGCCACCCCUUUUCGUAGAGCCCAGAUGAGGACCGGGCAGAACAUUGGUCCGGUCUUGGCCAGGCAUCUCCUGGGCAUCUGUGUGCUUAGGAGUAUUCAUCUCACCCCCUUCGUGAGGAUGUCCUGCUCUCCCCAGCCCUGGGUACAGCCCAAGUGGGAGAGCAGCUCUCCAGCCCAGUCAGGGCGUGGCCUGGGACAGGCUCGAGAGGAAGGGUGGUAGUUGUUGGGCAUGCGAGCUGGUCUUAAAGUCUGGAAUUCUCCAGUGAUAUCACUGGAAGGGGAGUUUUGGUCUUGGAGGUGUGGGGGAGGUAGAGUGUGGGGUAAAGUGGGGUAGGAAGAACCAAGGAGAAGAGUUUUAAAGUGAGCAGAGGCCGGAAGCAGUGAAACGGAGGAGCUUUUGUGUAUGGUGGUCCUGAUAGGUGGGGAGGGUUUCAACUGUGCUGUGGCUCCCACUGCUGUGGC